UAAGACCAUUUAUAUGACAGAACUCGGUCCAUGCACCACACCGUAACCUCUAUGACUUACAUGUGGGCCAGGGUCAGCCUUCACGGCGCACUAUCCAGUGGAACAACCGCACGCUGCUUUCCGUCCUGCCACUUCCCUGUAUCCACGCUGCUUUCCCCACCACCGGUCCACGGCCAGUCAAGGAAAUCCCCACAGCCAGCGACCAGCGAGAUGCCGCUCCGCCGCCUCCUCCGCCUGUCCGGCGCCCGCCGGAGCGCCGAGCGCGGGGGUGUGCCUCUAUCACCCGCCGCGCGUCUCCCAACUGUACGUCCCGGAGCACCUCGUCUAUACCGGCGACUUCCCCGACCCCGACAGCGACGUCGUGCAGGUGGUCGGCGGCGAGGUCUGCGCCGCGAGCGGCGACGGCCUCCUCCUCCUCGCCUUCUCAAACCUGCGCUUCCUGGCUCCCAUCCUCGCCAAGCAGGGCGCCGAGCGGCUGCGGCAGCCGCCCAUCGGCAUGGACCCCACCCACGUCCCCGCCUUGGCGCGCUUCGUCUUCAACCCUCUCACGCACCAGCUAUCCCGCCUCCCGGUCCCGGACAUCGCCCGCAACCCUGUACUCGGCCGCCACCUGGGCCUCCUCACUCAAGCCGAUCGCGGGCACGGGCACGGGCACGGGCCGCCUGACAGGUUCGCCGUCGCCGACCUGCAGGAGGGGAACCGCAUGCUCCGGUUUCUCUCGGAGAAAGGCAAGUGGGAGAACGUCGCGGUCUCGCCGUGCCAACUCCCGUCUGCGCGGCAAAUGGAGAUAGACCAGGAGGCGCUGGUAUUCCGCGGUCGGCUCUGGUGGGUCGACGUGACCUGGGGCGCAGUCUCCGCCGACCCCUUCAGCGAUCGGCCGGAGCUCUCCUUCGUCGAGCUGCCGAGUGGCAGCGUGCUGCCUGAAGGUGCGCAGGUCGAAGCGCUCCGCCGAGGGAGCCUGCUGCCUGACGCUGAGGGCAACGUGUGGUGGAGAGAGGCGCCCGUCAGGUACCGGCGCGUGGGUGUCAGCGAAGGGCGGCUGCGCUACGUUGAGGUCUCUCAAAAGGAACCAUUUCUUCUCAGCUCCUUCGUGCUGGACAACGAUGGCAGCGGCUGGACGCUGGAGCGCCGGGUGGCGCUCAGCGAGCUCCGGGCGGGUGGAGGCUACCCAUGGCUACACAUACCGGAGGGGAAGACGCCACAAAUUGGCCUUCUUGACCCACUUAACGCCAAUGUGGUGUACCUCACGGUUGACAAGGAAGUCCUUGUCGUCGUGGACAUGGACAGGAAAGAGGUGAUUGGGAGAUCUCUAUAUGAAACCGACGUCUCCUAUAUACCAUGUGUUCUUCCACCAUGGAUUGGAUCGAGCCAGAUCCCUUCUGCAGGCAAGAAGGACGCUGAGACUAACAAGACUUUGUCAGACGUCCUGGUUCGCUCUAAAAUCCCGUAGAAGAGACUAAGCUGCUUGCCAGGCUGCCAAAAUUUAUGGGUUGGUGUGUCAGCAUGGAUAUUCCAUCCCUUCAUUCAGAUUUCUCAAAACUAGCCGAUUCUGCUCCGUAAUCAAUUAGGAAGCUGAUGGUGGUAGCUUAUUGAGCUCUCAUUUUGGGGAAAAUCUGCAGGAGUCUUGGUUUGAUGGUGUUUCGCGAUCAACUUAACUGUAUCUCGUUCGUAGGGGAAUCUGAGAGAAUUUUCAGACUAUCCGGUCACAGCAGAACAUUAAACAGAUCCAGCAUGUAACGACCAUUACUGAACAUCAUAUAUGCUGUGUUUGCUAGCUAGCCAAUAUUCCUAGGACAUGUUUACUCCAAUGAAUAAUCUCAUUUAGGGAUCUCGGAUUAUGUCAUCCAUGCAGCAUUGGUGGUUUGUUACAGUGUAGUAUUGCUAUUUGUGCCCUGAGUAAUGUACGCUUUUGUGCUAGUUGAUGGUAUAUUGGCAUAUUGCUCUUGAUUUUAGUUAAUAUAUGAAGGAUUA